GACGAACGCUGGCGGCGUGCUUAACACAUGCAAGUCGAACGAUAAGGCCCUUCGGGGUACACGAGUGGCGAACGGGUGAGUAACACGUGGGUGAUCUGCCCUGCACUUCGGGAUAAGCCUGGGAAACUGGGUCUAAUACCGGAUAGGACCACUGCCUGCAUGGGUGGUGGUGGAAAGCUUUUGCGGUGUGGGAUGGGCCCGCGGCCUAUCAGCUUGUUGGUGGGGUGAUGGCCUACCAAGGCGACGACGGGUAGCCGGCCUGAGAGGGUGACCGGCCACACUGGGACUGAGAUACGGCCCAGACUCCUACGGGAGGCAGCAGUGGGGAAUAUUGCACAAUGGGCGCAAGCCUGAUGCAGCGACGCCGCGUGAGGGAUGACGGCCUUCGGGUUGUGAACCUCUUUCAGCACCGACGAAGCGCAAGUGACGGUAGGUGCAGAAGAAGGACCGGCCAACUACGUGCCAGCCGCCGCGGUAA
rnacentral:rRNA from 1 species